rnacentral:lncRNA from 1 species
UUCAGCUUUUGUCAUAAAUAUUUCUCCAAACAGCUUCUUUUGUGGGGUGAGAAAUAUAUAGAAUGGCUAAUACUGAAGGUCCCAUUGGCAGCUCUGUGCAUGGUUUAACUGGCAGAGAACAAACAUUUGCCUUCUCUAGGUCAUCUCAACCUCACCCCUCUGAUAAUAAAGACACAGCUACAAAAUUUUUUUUGCCGGUCGAUUCAAAACACAAAGCAUGUCAUCUCAACCUCACCCCUCUGAUAAUAAUGACACAGCUACAAAAUUUUCUUUGCCGGUCGAUUCAGAACACAAAGCAAAAACUCUGAAAAUAUUCUCA